AGAUUGAACGCUGGCGGCAGGCCUAACACAUGCAAGUCGAGCGGUAGAGAGGUGCUUGCAUCUCUUGAGAGCGGCGGACGGGUGAGUAAUGCCUAGGAAUCUGCCUAGUGGUGGGGGAUAACGUUCGGAAAACGGACGCUAAAUACCGCAAUACGUCCUACGGGAGAAAGGCGGGGGACCUUCGGGCCUCGCGCCAUUAGAUGA
rnacentral:rRNA from 1 species